GUCCUCGCCGUAAACGAUGUAGACCAGGUGUGGGAGGUAUCGACCCCUUCCGUGCCGACGCUAACGCAUUAAGUCUACCGCCUGGGGAGUACGGCCGCAAGGUUAAAACUCAAAGGAAUUGACGGGGCCCGCACAAGCAGUGGAUCAUGUGGUUUAAUUCGACGCUACGCGAAGAACCUUACCUAGGCUCGAACGACUGGUGGUAGUCCUGAUGAAAGUCGGGGCGACCCGCAAGGGAGCCAGCCGAGGUGCUGCAUGGCUGUCGU
rnacentral:rRNA from 1 species